GCGGGACACGUGGUAUCCUGUCUGAAUAUGGGGGGACCAUCCUCCAAGGCUAAAUACUCCUGACUGACCGAUAGUGAACCAGUACCGUGAGGGAAAGGCGAAAAGAACCCCGGCGAGGGGAGUGAAAAAGAACCUGAAACCGUGUACGUACAAGCAGUGGGAGCCUCUUUUAUGGGGUGACUGCGUACCUUUUGUAUAAUGGGUCAGCGACUUAUAUUCUGUAGCAAGGUUAACCGAAUAGGGGAGCCGAAGGGAAACCGAGUCUUAACUGGGCGUUAAGUUGCAGGGUAUAGACCCGAAACCCGGUGAUCUAGCCAUGGGCAGGUUGAAGGUUGGGUAACACUAACUGGAGGACCGAACCGACUAAUGUUGAAAAAUUAGCGGAUGACUUGUGGCUGGGGGUGAAAGGCCAAUCAAACCGGGAGAUAGCUGGUUCUCCCCGAAAGCUAUUUAGGUAGCGCCUCGUGAAUUCAUCUCCGGGGGUAGAGCACUGUUUCGGCAAGGGGGUCAUCCCGACUUACCAACCCGAUGCAAACUGCGAAUACCGGAGAAUGUUAUCACGGGAGACACACGGCGGGUGCUAACGUCCGUCGUGAAGAGGGAAACAACCCAGACCGCCAGCUAAGGUCCCAAAGUCAUGGUUAAGUGGGAAACGAUGUGGGAAGGCCCAGACAGCCAGGAUGUUGGCUUAGAAGCAGCCAUCAUUUAAAGAAAGCGUAAUAGCUCACUGGUCGAGUCGGCCUGCGCGGAAGAUGUAACGGGGCUAAACCAUGCACCGAAGCUGCGGCAGCGACACU
rnacentral:rRNA from 1 species